GCUUUUAACGGUUGCCAGCCUCGCGGUCGGGUGGUAACUUCUGUGACGGUUGCUUGGGUGGGUCCGUCGUCGUCGUCGUCGACAGGCGCUACUUGAGAAAAUCUGAGAAAAAUCCAGUUUUUUUGUUAUAUAUGAGGGCUUCCAAAUGGGUGUGAAGUGUCUUUUAAAUAUUGAUGCCUGGAAAAUGAAUUUCUUUUACAGUGGCUCGAAAGACAGUAAGAGAAGUAGGAUCCGUUUCUUUGGUUCGGGAAAAGGCGAAGGCAAGCUUGACUGAAAGAUGUUUCAUAACAAUGUUGCUGACCAUAAGCUGAGGGUGGAAGCCAUAAUUAAAAAUAUUAAUACCAUUUCUUUGGAGUUGAAGAGGAUGAAAGAUUUGCAUCGCAUGCACAUGCCUAUAGCAACCCUGGCCAAGGAGAAUGGAAAUCCCAAGACCAGUUCGGACCAGUCAGAACUUACUGCUGAAGUGGAGGAGAAUUGCACCUCAGAUGAAAUACAAUUAUGCAACCAAGAAGAAAAGAGGAAUGUUAGUUAGGUGCCAAAUAAACUCUCCCAGUUACUGCUUUGUGACCUCACUCUACAGUUUAAUCAUCCUUGGAAGGCAGAGGACUCACAGGAAACCGAAAGAAAUAAUACCCUCUUUGAAGAAUCUAAAAUGACAAGUGUAUCCCCUUCUCCUAACAGUUUUUCCAUGUGAUUUCUUAUUAAGUUCUAUUUUUACUGUUGAAUUAAGUAUCUGGGAGGGCUGAGUUUACUAAUCUAAUUAAAAACAGAAUAAAAAUAAUGUGAAAUUACAAA